CCUACGGGGGGCUGCAGUGGGGAAUAUUGCACAAUGGGCGCAAGCCUGAUGCAGCCAUGCCGCGUGUGUGAAGAAGGCCUUCGGGUUGUAAAGCACUUUCAGCGGGGAGGAAGGCGGUGAGGUUAAUAACCUCAUCGAUUGACGUUACCCGCAGAAGAAGCACCGGCUAACUCCGUGCCAGCAGCCGCGGUAAUACGGAGGGUGCAAGCGUUAAUCGGAAUUACUGGGCGUAAAGCGCACGCAGGCGGUCCGUCAAGUCGGAUGUGAAAUCCCCGGGCUCAACCUGGGAACUGCAUUCGAAACUGGCAGGCUAGAGUCUUGUAGAGGGGGGUAGAAUUCCAGGUGUAGCGGUGAAAUGCGUAGAGAUCUGGAGGAAUACCGGUGGCGAAGGCGGCCCCCUGGACAAAGACUGACGCUCAGGUGCGAAAGCGUGGGGAGCAAACAGGAUUAGAUACCCUUGUAGUC
rnacentral:rRNA from 1 species